AUGUACCGAGAUCCCAACCCCUUCGACGAGGGCGCCGACGACAACGCCUUCUCCAAUGGGGGAGGACGCGGUGGUGCCGCUGGUGGUGGCGGCGGUAAGUCGCAGUUCCAGUUUCGCCCGACGGAGCCCGUCGGAUUCGGCGCCGGUGGCAACGGCGACGCCGCCGUCGACAUCCCCCUUGACAACAUGAACGGUUCGAGUGGCAAGGAAAGCGAGCUCUCGCAGUGGCAGGCAGAUCUCAAGAGGCGAGAGGCGGACAUCAAGAGGAGGGAGGAAGCUCUCAAGAGCGCUGGGGUGCCCAUGGAGGACAAGAACUGGCCGCCGUUCUUCCCAAUCAUCCACCAUGACAUUGCCAAUGAAAUACCAGCCAACGCGCAGCGGUUGCAGUAUCUUGCUUUUGCUAGCUGGCUCGGCAUCGUGCUUUGCCUCGUUUGGAAUUUCAUUGCUGUCACAGUCUGUUGGAUCAGAGGGGGAGACUCUAAACUGUUUUUCCUGGCUACUAUCUACGGUAUGCUUGGAGUACCUUUGUCGUACUUGAUGUGGUAUAGGCCUCUGUACCGUGCAAUGAGAACUGACAGCGCAUUCAGCUUUGGGUGGUUUUUCCUUUGUUACAUGCUCCACAUUGGCUUUUGUAUAAUUGCUGCCAUUGCUCCGCCAAUCGUGUUUCGUGGGAAGUCACUAACGGGUAUACUGGCUGCAAUCGAUACCUUCUCUGAUCAUGCAUUAGUUGGGAUACUUUACUUUGUCGGAUUUGCCUUGUUUUCACUGGAGACAGUUGUGAGCAUUUGGGUUCUUCAGAGAGUAUACAUGUAUUUCAGAGGGCACAAGUGA
rnacentral:rRNA from 1 species